rnacentral:rRNA from 1 species
GACGAACGCUGGCGGCGUGCUUAACACAUGCAAGUCGAACGGAAAGGCCUUUUCGGAGGUACUCGAGUGGCGAACGGGUGCGUAACACGUGGGUGAUCUGCCCUGCACUCUGGGACAAGCCUGGGAAACUGGGUCCAAUACCGGAUAGGACCGCACUUUAGUGUGUGUGGUGGAAAGAUUUUUCGAUGUAGGAUGAGCCCGCGGCCUAUCAGCUUGUUGGUGGGGUACUGGCUUACCAAGGCGGCGACGGGUAGCCGGACUGAGAGGUGGGUCGGCCACAAUGGGCCUGAGAGACGGCCCAGACUCCUACGGGAGGCAGCAGUGGGGAAUCUUGCACAAUGGCCGCAAGCCUGAUGCAGCGACGCCGCGUGGGGGAUGACGGCCUUCGGGUGAUAAACUCCUUUCGCCAGGAACGAAGCGUUUUGUGACGGUACCUGGAGAAGAAGCACCGGCUAACUACGU